GAGGCAAUGCUGUCUGUAGGCACCAGUUCCUCCGCUGCCCUCCACUCCCUUGUGACCCACCAAACACCACCUGAGAAAAGUCACAACUGAGACCAAGGUUAAGAAGUCUGUUGACAGCUUUGGGUUCUUUAGGUGAAACUGCUGCUGGAAGAAAAACUCCAGCUAAGUGUCAAAGAAAGUCUCCGUCCGGUUUUGACUAUGCAGUAUUCUCAGGGUUGCUCUGGUUAUGCAGAAGGACUGAAUUCCUUUCCCAGCUCCUAGCUGAUGAGAUUUCAAUAUACUUAAGACCAGAAGGGACCGUCAUGAUCAACUACUUUGACCUGCAUAACACAGGUCAGAGAAUUUCACCCAAUGAGUCCUGCAUCAAGUCCAAUAAAUUGUGGUUGAACAGGAACAGAUCUUUGAGAAAGACAUCCAUCCUGGAUUUAAAGGCUCUAGUUGAUGCAAGAUUUACCACAAGCCUUUGGACCUUUAGCAUUUUCAGUCUGACCCCAGGGACUCAUUCCUGCUCUUGCCCCUUUGUGCCUGGUAAGAGAGCUGCAGCGGCAUAAAGGGGUUUAAGGUGUCCUGGUUCCUGCCAAAGGAUUCUCUUGGCACAGGCGCUGCAGAAGAUAUCCAUAAGACUGUGCUGUGAGGAUCCCCUUGCAAGCCCUGGCAUAGGGAUGAGCUGGGGCAGGACGGGCAUGGCAGGGCUGUACAGAGUCUGAGCACUGCUGCUGCCCAGAGGGCAGCCAAGAUGGCUGCUGUAACUUAGGCCUCUAAAGCUGUCUAAAUUACAUAGGGGGGAAGAGCCUCCCCCUCCUCUG